rnacentral:lncRNA from 1 species
CUCCCAGGUUCAAGCAAUUCUCCUCCCUCAGCCUCCUGAGUAGCUGGGAUUACACGCAUGCACCACUACGCCCGGCUAAUAUUGUAUUUUUAGUAGAGACGGGGUUUCUCCAUGUUGAGGCUGGUCUCGAACUCCUGACUUCAGGUGAUCCGCCCGCCUCGGCCUCCCAAAGUGUUGGGAUUACAGCCAUGAGCCACUGCGCGCGGCCACAGAAUUAUUUCUUGAUUCACUAAAACCCUGCCUAAUGUUUUAGUAUCUACUUCAUAUAUAUUCUUCCCAAAUCACUCCAGUCCUCUGAACAUAUUAAGUCUUAUCCACUUAAGAACAUAUGGCUGUGUGGUGGCUCACACCUGUAAUCCCAGCAUUAUGGGAGGCCAAGGCAGAGGAUCACUUGAGCCCAGGAGUUUGAGACCAGCCUGGGCAACAUGGUGGGGCAUGCCUGUGGUCCAGCUACUUGGAGGGCUGAGGUGGGAGGAUCACUUGAGCCUGGGAAGUCAAGGCUACAGUGAGCUGUGAUUAUGCUACUGCACUCCGGCCUAGGCAACAAAGCAAGACACAC